AAUAUUGGACAAUGGGGGCAACCCUGAUCCAGCCAUGCCGCGUGAGUGAAGAAGGCCUUCGGGUUGUAAAGCUCUUUCAGAUGCGAAGAUGAUGACGGUAACAUCAGAAGAAGCCCCGGCUAAUUUCGUGCCAGCAGCCGCGGUAAUACGAAAGGGGCUAGCGUUGUUCGGAUUUACUGGGCGUAAAGGGCACGCAGGCGGUCUUGCCAGUCAGGGGUGAAAGCCCGGGGCUCAACCCCGGAACUGCCUCUGAUACUGCAAGACUAGAGACUAGGAGAGGGUGGUGGAAUUCCCAGUGUAGAGGUGAAAUUCGUAGAUAUUGGGAGGAACACCAGAGGCGAAGGCGGCCACCUGGACUAGAUCUGACGCUCAGGUGCGAAAGCGUGGGGAGCAAACAGGAUUAGAUACCCUGGUAGUCCACGCCGUAAACGAUGAGUGCUAGUUGUCGGGACUUCGGUUUCGGUGACGCAGCUAACGCAUUAAGCACUCCGCCUGGAGA
rnacentral:rRNA from 1 species